rnacentral:lncRNA from 1 species
CUAGACCUAAAGAAUGAGAUCCCUUAAUUGAAGAACCCAACGCAACUUUCCCCUUUUCCCUUUUUCUUCUCACUCCCCCUUCAUCUCCCUUAAAAACCAGAGAAAACGGCAACACCAUGGUUCCCCUUUUCUUCUUCUCCAUUCCUCAUCUUCAACAGACAUACAUGCCCUCAUGAUCUGAUUUUUGCAUAUAAUUUUAGAGAACAACUAAAAUCGGCGAAAUCGAAAAAAAAGAAUUUGAAAGCUAUGGUUAAACUUCUACUCACUUGCUCUAUUUUUUUGAAAAUUCAAGUGUAAACAAAUUUGGGAAAGAGUUUAUGAAGCUAGGAGUAGGGGCUGAUUUCGUCGAUGAUUUCACUGCUGUCCAUGUAGCUGAUUUCCAACAUAGCAUCGGUUCUUUCAGCCUUUGUCCUGGCAUUUUUUCGAUUCUUAUUUGUGUUUCAGGUAUGAAUCUCGAUUUGAAAAUGCUAUAAUUGUUGUUAGAUGCUCCGUUGCGAUGAAAUUGUAACAACAGUUCCCUUGUUUCUCUUAAAUUCAUCAAUGUUUUGUGCGAGCUUAAACUAUUUUUUUGCUAAAAUUUGUCGGGAACGUACCCUUGUUUUAUGAUGUUCUGCUCCAUUUCUAGUACGGUUAACUCUUGCGAUUUGAAAUUUGCUUUCUGAAAUCCCCAUUUUAAUGAUCUUCUUCUGAUGUUGAUGCCUUUAAUUCGAUUUUGGAUUUGAUGUUUAUAGAUAAUCCUAUGUUAGUUAAUCAUUCUGGUGCUUUUAUCAUUUCCUCUCAUUGGUCAGCAUGGCCGUUGCUUAGUCAGUAGUGAAGCAGUUGAUAUAAAGGAUCUUGACGCAGGACAAUUCUUUGAACUCUGCUCCGGAAUAUGUGAUUUUUUAACAGCUGAAUGAAAAGACAAUUCUGUGAUAGUUUUGCCCUUAACUAUUUCCAUGACUGCAAUUAUGUGCUUGGACUUGAUGAAAAGACAUUUCUGUUAAAAGAAAACAUCUGAGUUGUAUUUUCAUGUUAUUGUUUUGUUGGCCUUGGAUUGCUGCAAUCUACAUAUUCCAAUUUUGAUGUUUAUUGAAUCUCAAGAGGUGUAACUCAGAUUUUCAAACUGACCCUUCAUCGGAAGAUCACUCAUAUGUCAUAGCAUGUAGGCGCCUGUAUGGGUGCUUCACUAAUGUUUAGAUGAGUUCUGUAGUUUCACAUUUAUUCCAUUCACUUAUUAGGACAUGACUUGCUAGUAAGUGAGCCUCAACUGUGAGGGAGGAGGCAAGAAGUAUGCUUUGGUGGAUUAGGGUUUUCAAUUCCUAUUCAUGUGCAAUUACCUGACACUUGGAUAAUGCUAUUAGUGUAUUUCAAACUUCUUAUUUGAUUUGUCAUACUUAGUGGGUUACCUUUAAUUAUUUAUUUUUCUUGUUUUUUUAAAUAUGUUUAACAACUGGACCUCAUAUUUGUGUUAGUAUGGGAAUUUGGGUAUAUAAGUACUAACUUGAAAGUUGAGUUUUAAUGGUAUUUCAAUUGCUAGAAAUUUGCAUCUUUUGUUGUUCUUUUUCAAUCAUUUUAUUGCUUGAAUUCCUUUUGGUUAAUAUUGAAGAUUUUGACAGAAUUUUGAAUAUUUGAUGCAUUCAAAAUGAAUGUCUUUCCUUCAUUGUCUCACUUGAUUAUUCAACAAAGUUGAAGGAACGAGAAUUUUGGGCUUUAUGUUUCAAGUGUAGUUGCUGAUUAGCUUAUGGAAACAGUGGUUGUCUCUGCUUGGUAA